rnacentral:rRNA from 1 species
UACGGAGGAUCCGAGCGUUAUCCGGAUUUAUUGGGUUUAAAGGGAGCGUAGGCGGGUUGUUAAGUCAGUUGUGAAAGUUUGCGGCUCAACCGUAAAAUUGCAGUUGAUACUGGCAUCCUUGAGUACAGUAGAGGUAGGCGGAAUUCGUGGUGUAGCGGUGAGAUGCUUAGAUAUCACGAAGAACUCCGAUUGCGAAGGCAGCCUGCUGGACUGUAACUGACGCUGAUGCUCGAAAGUGUGGGUAUCAAACAGG